UUGGAGGGCAAGUCUGGUGCCAGCAGCCGCGGUAAUUCCAGCUCCAAUAGCGUAUAUUAAAGUUGUUGCAGUUAAAAAGCUCGUAGUUGAAUUUCGAGAUCAAUUUGUCGGUCGUGCCUCGGUACGUACUGGCAUUAUUGAUUUCUCCCUUCUGAAGAACCGCGAUGUCAUUAAUUUGGUGUCGUGGGGAAUCAGGACUGUUACUUUGAAAAAAUUAGAGUGUUUAAAGCAGGCGCACGCUUGAAUACAUUAGCAUGGAAUAAUGAAAUAGGACAUUUGAUUCUAUUUUGUUGGUUUCUAGGAUCGACGUAAUGAUUAAUAGGGAUAGUUGGGGGCAUUAGUAUUCAAUUGUCAGAGGUGAAAUUCUUGGAUUUAUUGAAGACUAACUACUGCGAGCAUUUGCCAAGGAUGUUUUCAUUAAUCAAGAACGAAAGUUAGGGGAUCGAAGACGAUCAGAUACCGUCGUAGUCUUAACCAUAAACUAUGCCGACUAGGGAUCGGAUGAUGUUAAUUUUUUAAUGACUCAUUCGGCGCCUUACGGGAAACCAAAGUGUUUGGGUUC
rnacentral:rRNA from 1 species